UCUAGGGCUGAAGCUGUCGGGGACGGUGAAGUUACCCCCCACAUUGGUACUGAGACACGGACGAAUAUCCUACGGGAGGCAGCAGUGAGGAAUAUUGGUCAAUGGACGCAAGUCUGAACCAGCCAUGCCGCGUGCAGGAAGACGGCUCUAUGAGUUGUAAACUGCUUUUGUACGAGGGUAAACUCAGAUACGCGUAUCUGACUGAAAGUAUCGUACGAAUAAGGAUCGGCUAACUCCGUGCCAGCAGCCGCGGUAAUACGGAGGAUUCAAGCGUUAUCCGGAUUUAUUGGGUUUAAAGGGUGCGUAGGCGGUCUGAUAAGUUAGAGGUGAAAUCCCGGGGCUUAACUCCGGAAUUGCCUCUGAUACUGUUGGGCUAGAGAGUAGUUGCGGUAGGCGGAAUGUAUGGUGUAGCGGUGAAAUGCUUAGAGAUCAUACAGAACACCGAUUGCGAAGGCAGCUUACCAAACUAUAUCUGACGUUGAGGCACGAAAGCGUGGGGAGCAAACAGGAUUAGAUACCCUGGUAGUCCACGCAGUAGACGAUGAUNACUCGCUGUCGGCGAUACACAGUCGGUGGCUAAGCGAAAGCGAUAAGUUAUCCACCUGGGGAGUACGUUCGCAAGAAUGAAACUCAAAGGAAUUGACGGGGGCCCGCACAAGCGGAGGAACAUGUGGUUUAAUUCGAUGAUACGCGAGGAACCUUACCCGGGCUUGAAAGUUAGCGACGAUUCUGGAAACCGGAUUUCCCUUCGGGGCGCGAAACUAGGUGCUGCAUGGUUGUCGUCAGCUCGUGCCGUGAGGUGUCGGGUUAAUCCCAUAACGAGCGCAAGCCCUACCGUUAGUUGCCAUCAGGUCGAGCUGGGCACUCUGGGCGGGACUGCCGGUGUAAGCCCGAGAGGAAGGUUGGGGAUGACGUCUAAUCAGCCCGGGCCUUUCGUUCCGGGGCUUACCCCGCUGUU
rnacentral:rRNA from 1 species